rnacentral:lncRNA from 10 species
UUAAAUAGCCAUGCAUCCAGUAUCUCGCAGGGUGGUCAUGAGGAGUAAAAGAGAUCAAGCAUAUUAAGUGCUCAGUCCAGUGCCUGCUACCACCCUUUACAGAAGUAGCCAGAAGUUGGAGGCAAUGUGUCCAUCUUGCACCAGGCCAACAUCCCCCCAUGCUUCCGCGUCUCAGCCUUGACUGCCUAUUGCAAUCACAUGGAGAACUUUAAAGAAAAUGCUGGGGCCUGGUCUUACAGCCAGAGUCUUGUCUAGUUGUUCCAAGGCAUAGCCUGGUCAUUGAGAGUCUUAGAAGCAGGUAGGCUGAUGCCCCCUCACCUCCCACGGCACAGACAUCCCCUCACCUCUUCGCUGGCUGAAAUAGAAGAACCCUAGUGUCCAUCAGCUGCUUAUAGAUGACUCAUCUUCUUAAUCCUUUCUUGACGAAAACUUGCUUCAGAUGUUAAUAAAAAGUACAAAAUC